AUACGUGUCGGAUCCAUCACACGUGCUGAACUAUGAAAGAAUGGAGCUAAAGCAGGACUUGAGUUAUGAAGUGCGACCAGUUCGCAUUAUAGAGAGAGGAACGAAGGAGUUAAGGUCCAAAAGUAUUCCUCUAGUAAAAGUUCUGUGGAGCAACCGUUCAGAAAGGGAGGCAACGUGGGAAAUGGAGGGAGACAUGAAAGAACAGUACCCCGAACUUUUUGAUAAGUAAGCCUGUAAGCUUUCGGUGACAAGUUGAGUCUGGGCAGCAUGGGGUGUAUCUCGUGUGAUCAUGUAACUGCGUGUGGUCUUGGCCAUCUUCCGCUGAAAGUUUUUUUUUAAUUUAUUAAACUUAUCGAGGAUGUUGUCGUUUAAAUUUUCUAUUACUUUUCCCUAAGUGGUAAUACUUUAUUUUCAACUGGGUACCCA